AUAUCUUUUUUUUUGUCAAGUUCCAUCCAAAGUUAUGAGCGAACCAUGUCGUCUCAAUCUUCUCUGCAGCUGCAGUCAUCGUAACGUUUCAGAGACCAUAUUGUAUUGAUACUUUCUACACAAAUCUCUAAAACAUUCAUGAUUCUCUGGAAGCUUAUUGUUAUCUACUCUGUCUCAUACCGUACGAUUAUUGUUAUUGUUCUGUUUUAGAUAAAUUAACGGGCGAACUCUAACUUUGAUAUUUGGUAGGAGGGAAGAGGAUUCAAGGAAAA